AGUGAACGCUGGCGGUAGGCCUAACACAUGCAAGUCGAACGUCAGCACAGUAAGAGCUUGCUCUUACGGGUGGCGGGUGGCGGACGGUUAAGGAAUACAUCAGACUCUACUUUUUCUUGGGGGAUAACGUCGGGCAACUUACGCUAAUACCGCAUACUACCUACGGGUGAAAGCAGGGGACAUUCGGCCCUUGCGCGAGUGAAUGAGCCGAUGUCGGAUUAGCUAGUUGGCGGGGUAAAGGCACACCAAGCCGACGAUCCGUAGCUGGUCUGAGAGGAUGAUCAGCCACACUGGAACUGAGACAAGGUCCAGACUCCUACGGGAGGCAGCAGUGGGGAAUAGUGGACAAUGGGCGCAAGCCUGAUCCAGCCAUACCGCGUGGGUGAAGAAGGCCUUCGGGUUGUAAAGCCCUUUUGUUGGGAAAGAAAAGCAGCAGGUUAAUACCCCGCUGUUCUGACGGUACCCAAAGAAUAAGCACCGGCUAAUUUCGUG
rnacentral:rRNA from 1 species